CUGUGCUGACUCUGUCACCAAAGUGCCUUUGGAGUCCAAGAUGGGAGCAAUGACAAGGAACGAGGAUUUCUUUUUUGCACUUACUCCGCAUUGACCCUGAUCCGUUCCAUUAAUUCAGUCCCCAGUUCCUACCCAAAACACACCCCGUCCUUCCACUCCAACACACAGCCAUUUGGGGGCAAGAGAACGGGAAGGAAGAGGGAGAGGGAGGGAAAAAGUGGGAGACCUGAGAGAGGUGUUCAGGGAAGUCUCCCCCUGGUCAGUCCGAAGUGGAGGCCCGGAUUUAAAUCCUCCUUCCCCCUGCCAAGAAAAUAAAAUUAAAAAGAUAAAUAAAUCCUUCUCCCCAAAUGAACCAGGGAAUGCGGGGGCCACAGCGCAUGUCAGUGAGCCACAUUCACCCCUGCCUGAGCUCACUGUUGGACCCCAGCAGCCUGAGCAGCCAUGAGGCCCCACACCUGCCUCCCGACAGGGCUGGCCAGUCCUGUGGGCUAAGGAGCAGGCAGCCUGACCUCCGGGAGAGCAACAAAAACACCGGACUUCCCAGGGCUCUUAGCUCAUAGUCCGAUCCACGGCUUACCUGUCAUUCAGGAAAGUUGUGGCUUUUGGUUUGAAAUUAAUGAUCUGUGUCUCCAAAAGAAAAUUAUCCAAACAACAAAGGGGCUGGUAGCCUGUUAGUCCCACCCCCGAGGUGUUGUUUACUCUGCAUGAAGGCUCAGGUGCCUGCACUCGGGAAAGGCCUGGUGAGAACACAGAGAGAAGGCCACCAACUACAAGCUAGGAAGAUGGUGCUCACCAGAGCCCGGCCACGCGAGCACCCUGACCUCCGACUUCUAGCCUCCAGGACUGCAAGAAGUAAAUGUCUGUCAUGUAAGCCUCACAGUCGAUGGUAUUUUGUUAAGACAGGCCAAGCCAAGGCAAGGGCUUUACAAAUAUCCGAGAACCUAUGUCACUCCCAGAACAACUCAGUGAUGUUAUCCUCAUUUUGUAAAGAAAUAGACUCACGGAGGUUGGGGGACCAGCACGAGCUGGCGAAAGGGCAGAGGCAGGAUAGGAACUCUGAUCUUUUGACUUGGUCAUUUCCCUUCCUGUUCUCCUGGGGCUACCUUGUUUAACCUAGUCCCCAGAUCUCGGGAAGGCAGAAGCUCCCACAGUGCCCGGCAGAGGGGGCAGAG
rnacentral:lncRNA from 1 species